GAUGAACGCUGGCGGCGUGCCUAAUACAUGCAAGUCGAGCGAACGGACGAGAAGCUUGCUUUUCUGAUGUUAGCGGCGGACGGGUGAGUAACACGUGGAUAACCUACCUAUAAGACUGGGAUAACUUCGGGAAACCGGAGCUAAUAUCGGAUAAUAUUUUGAACCGCAUGGUUCAAAAGUGAAAGACGGUCUUGCUGUCACUUAUAGAUGGAUCCGCGCUGCAUUAGCUAGUUGGUAAGGUAACGGCUUACCAAGGCAACGAUGCAUAGCCGACCUGAGAGGGUGAUCGGCCACACUGGAACUGAGACACGGUCCAGACUCCUACGGGAGGCAGCAGUAGGGAAUCUUCCGCAAUGGGCGAAAGCCUGACGGAGCAACGCCGCGUGAGUGAUGAAGGUCUUCGGAUCGUAAAACUCUGUUAUCAGGGAAGAACAUAUGUGUAAGUAACUGUGCACAUCUUGACGGUACCUAAUCAGAAAGCCACGGCUAACUACGUG
rnacentral:rRNA from 1 species